rnacentral:rRNA from 1 species
UGCAGUCGAGGGGUAUUUAUCUUCGGAUAGAGAGACCGGCGCACGGGUGCGUAACGCGUAUGCAAUCUACCUUUUGCAGAGGGAUAGCCCAGAGAAAUUUGGAUUAAUACCUCAUAGUAUAUAGAGUUGGCAUCAACACUAUAUUAAAGUCACAACGGCAAAAGAUGAGCAUGCGUCCCAUUAGCUAGUUGGUAAGGUAACGGCUUACCAAGGCUACGAUGGGUAGGGGUCCUGAGAGGGAGAUCCCCCACACUGGUACUGAGACACGGACCAGACUCCUACGGGAGGCAGCAGUGAGGAAUAUUGGACAAUGGGCGCAAGCCUGAUCCAGCCAUGCCGCGUGCAGGAUGACGGUCCUAUGGAUUGUAAACUGCUUUUGCACAGGAAGAAACAACUCUACGUGUAGAGUCUUGACGGUACUGUGAGAAUAAGGAUCGGCUAACUCCGUGCCAGCAGCCGCGGUAAUACGGAGGAUCCAAGCGUUAUCCGGAAUCAUUGGGUUUAAAGGGUCCGUAGGCGGUUUAGUAAGUCAGUGGUGAAAGCCCAUCGCUCAACGGUGGAACGGCCAUUGAUACUGCUAGACUUGAAUUAUUAGGAAGUAACUAGAAUAUGUAGUGUAGCGGUGAAAUGCUUAGAGAUUACAUGGAAUACCAAUUGCGAAGGCAGGUUACUACUAAUGGAUUGACGCUGAUGGACGAAAGCGUGGGUAGCGAACAGGAUUAGAUACCCUGGUAGCCCACGCCGUANACGAUGGAUACUAGCUGUUGGGCGCAAGUUCAGUGGCUAAGCGAAAGUGAUAAGUAUCCCACCUGGGGAGUACGUUCGCAAGAAUGAAACUCGAAGGAGUUGAC